rnacentral:lncRNA from 1 species
CACUGGGGCAGUUUCCCGCAUACUGUUCUCGCGAUAGUGAGUGAGUCUCACGAGAUCUGUUGGUUUUAUAAAUGUCCGACAUUUCCCCUGUUGCACUCGCUUCAGUUUGCUGCCUUGUGAGGAAGGUGUCUGCUUCUUCUUUGCCUUCUGUCAUUAUUGGCCUUCAUCAGCGAUGUGAAAUUCAAACCAGGCCAUCCCUGGAUAAAGUGGAGGGACUUGCCUGGGGUCCCAAGAUUUUGCUGUGAGAGAUCCAUCCAUUUGGAGGAGUCAGCUGCUUCCUGAACUUCAGGCCUUGAGGCAGGAGACAGCGUGUACCAUCUCCUGCCAUUCUGUUGGUAAGUAGAGACCUGUGAUGGUACCCAGGAUUCAAAAGUCAUCUUCCCCGGCGGGAGGCAAGGGAGGCUUAUGGAGAACCUCUUAAAGAUAUUGUGAGCAUUCUACUCAUUACUUAGGGAAAGACAGCGGGUGUUGGUCCAACUCUGGCUUUUGUGCCAGGUAGGAGUUGGUCCUGAGGCCGCCCAUCUGACCAUACUGGACCUGUUUUAAGGUUUUUCUCUAAAAAAAUUUUAGAUUUGUCAAUCUGUGCUCCUGCAGGGGAUGCUAUGUCCAAAUGUCCCAGGAUUUGUUUUUUUCUGUCUUUCCUGAGACAUUCCCUGCCCAGCUACCCAAGGAAUCCUUCAAACGAGCAAAUCUGACCAUAUCUUCUAUGGUCAGAUUAAAAUCUUCCAUGGCUCCCUAUUGCUUAUGGGACAAAAUCAAAAUUCCUGAGUCUGGUCUAAAAGGUGUUUGAUGAUCUUGACCUGCUGACUUUGCCAGCCUUCUUGUCAGACUCUCGUGUCAUGCUCCGCCU